rnacentral:lncRNA from 1 species
UGUGAGACUUUGCAAGGCUGCAUGGCUGACAGAAUCCAGAGCCUUUAGUUGAGUGAGGAACUUUCAGUAGAUGAAGUAUUUGGGAAAGUGUUCCAGCCACUGGAUGCCCAAGACGUUGAUGCCAAAUUGAAGAAGAUGAACUGUCUGAUAGUAGUGCACACUGGUUAUUGGAAAUUGCAGCAGAUUUUGGUGAAGCAAAGGAGAAUGG